UACGUAGGGCGCAAGCGUUGUCCGGAAUUAUUGGGCGUAAAGAGCUCGUAGGCGGCUUGUCACGUCGAUUGUGAAAGCCCGAGGCUUAACCUCGGGUCUGCAGUCGAUACGGGCUAGCUAGAGUGUGGUAGGGGAGAUCGGAAUUCCUGGUGUAGCGGUGAAAUGCGCAGAUAUCAGGAGGAACACCGGUGGCGAAGGCGGAUUUCUGGGCCAUUACUGACGCUGAGGAGCGAAAGCGUGGGGAGCGAACAGG
rnacentral:rRNA from 1 species